AAGUAAUACUAAAAUUUUAUAAAACUUAUUUAUAACGGCGGCAUUUUAUUUUAUUAGAGGAACUUGUUUUUUAAUCGAUAAACCCCGAUCAAUUUUACUUUAUAUAAAAAUUUAUAUACCGCCAUCAUUAAGAACUAAUUCAAAAAUAUUAUUCUAAAUAAAUAAUAAAAUGUUAGGUCAAGGUGUAAUUUACAUUAAAGAAUAAAUGAGUUACAUUAAAAUCUAAUUAAAGAUUAAUUAACCUCAACCAAUUAUAAAAUAGGAUUUAAAAGUAAUCAAUAAACAAUAUUUAUUCCUGAAUAAAAUAAUAAAUGUGC
rnacentral:rRNA from 1 species